CGAGCACACCAAUGGACAAGCACUAAGAAAACAAUGCAGAAGUCCUGUUAGAACAUGGCUUACAAGAGAAACACAGGCAGUAUUAAUAGCUUGGGCCACACUUAUUUGGAACCAUCCUUUGAAGAGAAUUAAGUUUCAUGAAGAUGCCUCCAGGAAUACAUUACCCAAAUGGCAGAAGAGUACCUAGUGCUGUUUUUAUUUCACCUGUCAUCUCCGUAAUAUCCUUGAGUAACCUGGAAUCCUCCUGUCAAAUCAAACUAAGAUAAGAAUCAAAAUUGCUGCACAACUGCAGAGAAAAAAAGAGAUGCAAGUGACUCCCAAAGGUAUCAACUACCACCGCUGGGUCAGACACUGGUGCCUCAUCAGUUAGAAGCUCAGGAGCUGGAAGGAAAACUCCAAGAAAGUUACCUAGGCAAAGCUUCCUGCAAGUUCCAUAGUCAGAAUAGGAAUUUGCAGAAAAGGACAUCUACACUAAGAAAACUGGGACCCAUCAAUGGAGGCAGUAGCACAAACAGGACUUGAGCAGUUCUUAUUACCAUGUUGUCUAACCCUACUGUAAAAAUCUAUGACAUUCUAAGUGAAUGACCAGAAGAAGAGCUUUAUGUAAGAUCACAAGUUUCACCAACAGAAGUUAGCC